AUGGGGUCAGGGUGCCGUAAUUGCCCCCCAUUGCCCCCCAUUGCCCCCCAUUGUCCCCCACUGUCCCCCCAUAGGGUCAAUGGCAUCAUCGAUGUCCCCCAUUGUCCCCACUGUCCCUAUGGGGUCACGGUGCCAUCGAUGUCCCCUAUGGGGUCACGGUGCCAUCGAUGUCCCCUAUGGGGUCAUGGUGCGGUGGCGGCCCCGUCGUUGUCGCUGUCGCUGCUGUCGGCCAUGAUGUCCCCCAUGAUGUCCCCCAUGUCCCCCCCGUGGUUGUGGGGCAGAGCAAACGCCGGCAGCUCCUCGUCCGAAGACCCCAAAGAAUCGUCGUCCCCCAAACGUCGCCCCAGCCCCACGGAGCUGAAAGAGAGCGGGCCGCGAAGGAGCCGGAUCUGGGGGGGAAAUGGGGGGCAAUGGGGCACCCAUAGGUCCCUUACCUCGUCCAUUAGCACCCAUGGGUGCCUCACCUCGGCCUUGAGCUCGUCGAUGUGAUCCUUCAGCUGCCGGAUGUACUGAGCGGCGUCCGAGUGGUUGAGCUGCCCUUGGAUCAUCCCCUCCUCCCUCUAUGGGGCGCAGAGGGGUCACCCCGUCACCCAUAUCCCACCCUAUAUCCCACCCUAUAUCCCACCCUAUAUCCCACCCUAUAUGUCACCCUAUAUGUCCCCCCCCCACCCCACAAACCUGGAUCUCCAGCUCGGCCACCCUCUGUCUCAUCUCAGCCAGGGCCGCCAUGCUGUCGGCCUCGCGCAGCCUCACGGCCAUCACCUCCUCUUUGCUCUAUGGGGGGGGGGGGGGGACAUUGGGGGGCACCCAUGGGUGUCAAUGCCCACCCAAUGGACAGCCCCAUAGAAGGGACCCCAAUGGGUAUGGGGACCCCAAGGGGGGGGAUAUGGGGACCCCAAGGGAGGAGAUAUGGGGACAUAAGGGACCCCAGGGGGGGGAUAUGGGACAUAAGGGACCCCAGGGUGGGGAUAUGGGGACAUAAGGGACCCAAGGGGGGAUA
rnacentral:lncRNA from 1 species